rnacentral:rRNA from 1 species
GACGAACGCUGGCGGCGUGCCUAAUACAUGCAAGUUGAGCGCUGAAGGUUGGUACUUGUACCAACUGGAUGAGCAGCGAACGGGUGAGUAACGCGUGGGGAAUCUGCCUUUGAGCGGGGGACAACAUUUGGAAACGAAUGCUAAUACCGCAUAAAAACUUUAAACACAAGUUUUAAGUUUGAAAGAUGCAAUUGCAUCACUCAAAGAUGAUCCCGCGUUGUAUUAGCUAGUUGGUGAGGUAAAGGCUCACCAAGGCGAUGAUACAUAGCCGACCUGAGAGGGUGGUCGGCCACAUUGGGACUGAGACACGGCCCAAACUCCUACGGGAGGCAGCAGUAGGGAAUCUUCGGCAAGGGACGAAAGUCUGACCGAGCAACGCCGCGGGAGUGAAGAAGGUUUUCGGAUCGUAAAACUCUGUUGGUAGAGAAGAACGUUGGUGAGAGUGGAAAGCUCAUCAAGUGACGGUAACUACCCAGAAAGGGACGGCUAACUACGUG